CCUACGUGAGGCUGCAGUGGGGAAUAUUGCACAAUGGGGGAAACCCUGAUGCAGCGACGCCGCGUGAGUGAAGAAGUACUUCGUUAUGUAAAGCUCUUUCAGCAGGGAAGAAAAUGACGGUACCUGAGUAAGAAGCUCCGGCGAACUACGUGCCAGCAGCCGCGGUAAUACGUAGGGGGCAAGCGUUAUCCGGAUUUACUGGGUGUAAAGGGAGCGUAGACGGCAGUGCAAGUCUGGAGUGAAAGGCGGGGGCUCAACCCCCGGACUGCUCUGGAAACUGUACGGCUGGAGUGCAGGAGAGGUAAGUGGAAUUCCUAGUGUAGCGGUGAAAUGCGUAGAUAUUAGGAGGAACACCAAUGGCGAAGGCAGCUUACUGGGAUGUAACUGACGUUGAGGCACGAAAGCGUGGGGAGCAAACAGGAUUAGAUACCCGAGUAGUC
rnacentral:rRNA from 1 species